UAGUAACUGCGAGUGAAGCGGGAAGAGCUCAAAUUUAAAAUCUGGCAGUCUUCUGGCUGUCCGAGUUGUAAUCUGGAGAAGCGUUUUCUGUGUUAGACCGUGUACAAGUCUCCUGGAACGGAGCGUCAUAGAGGGUGAGAAUCCCGUCCAUAACACGGACUACUAAUACUUUGUGAUACGCUCUCGAAGAGUCGAGUUGUUUGGGAAUGCAGCUCAAAAUGGGUGGUAAAUUCCAUCUAAAGCUAAAUACAGGCGAGAGACCGAUAGCGAACAAGUACCGUGAGGGAAAGAUGAAAAGCACUUUGGAAAGAGAGUUAAACAGUACGUGAAAUUGUUGAAAGGGAAACGCUUGAAGUCAGUCGCGUUGUGCAGAACUCAGCCUUGCCUUAGCUUGGUGUACUUUCUGCACAACGGGUCAACAUCAAUUUUGGCUUAUGGAGAAAGGUGGGGGGAAUGUAGCGCUGUUUCGGCAGCGUGUUAUAGCCCCCCACUGUAUACAUGGGCUGGGAUUGAGGAACGCAGCACGCCCUUGUGGCCGGGGGUUCGCCCCACGUACCGUGCUUAGGAUGUUGGCCAGAAUGGCUUUAAGCGACCCGUCUUGAAACACGGACCAAGGAGUCUAACAUGCUUGCGAGUGUUCGGGUGGAAAACCCUUGUGCGUAAUGAAAGUGAAAGUUGGGAACCUCCGCAAGGGGGUGCACCGACGCCCGGCCCUGACGUUCUCUGACGGUGCUGCGGUAGAGCAAGUAUGCUAGGACCCGAAAGAUGGUGAACUAUGCCUGAAUAGGGCGAAGCCAGAGGAAACUCUGGUGGAGGCUCGUAGCGAUUCUGACGUGCAAAUCGAUCGUCAAAUUUGGGUAUAGGGGCGAAAGACUAAUC
rnacentral:rRNA from 1 species